rnacentral:rRNA from 1 species
AACGAACGCUGGCGGCAGGCCUAACACAUGCAAGUCGAACGAGAAGCCACCUUCGGGUGGUGGACAGUGGCAGACGGGUGAGUAACGCGUGGGAACGUGCCUUUCGGUUCGGGAUAACCCAGGGAAACUUGGGCUAAUACCGGAUACGCCCUCCGGGGGAAAGAUUCAUUGCCGAAAGAUCGGCCCGCGUCGGAUUAGCUAGUUGGUGGGGUAAAAGCCUACCAAGGCGACGAUCCGUAGCUGGUCUGAGAGGANGACCAGCCACACUGGGACUGAGACACGGCCCAGACUCCUACGGGAGGCAGCAGUGGGGAAUAUUGGACAAUGGGCGCAAGCCUGAUCCAGCCAUGCCGCGUGGGUGAAGAAGGCCC